AAAAAAAAAAGAACAGAAAGAAUCAAAUGUGCUAGGCAGGGUAGAUUAGGUUGUUUGAUCCAUAGCCAUGGACAUGAUGGUAAGGACAAAUGGACUCCCCGGUUGUUGUCUGUAAAGUUGAUGGGUCAUUAUGAGAAACUUGAAAGGAAGUCUGAUAAUGGAUUAUUGGGAUCUUUUCUCUUUUUGCAUCAAAAUACUAUUCUUUGUGUGGUCUUGUGUUCUGCAGUUUGACAUCAUGUUUCUUAGGUAAGUGGAUUGAAUUGUUCUUAAUAAAGAUUUGAUUAUUUCUUCAUUUGAAAGCUGAAAUGAAAAUUACUUGACAAAAUCAAGAGUGCUU
rnacentral:misc_RNA from 1 species